UGGGGAAUAUUGGACAAUGGGGGGAACCCUGAUCCAGCCAUGCCGCGUGUGUGAAGAAGGCCUUAUGGUUGUAAAGCACUUUAAGCGAGGAGGAGGGUACUGGUAUUAAUACUACCAGGUACUGGACGUUACUCGCAGAAUAAGCACCGGCUAACUCUGUUCCAGCAGCCGCGGUAAUACAGAGGGUGCGAGCGUUAAUCGGAUUUACUGGGCGUAAAGCGUGCGUAGGCGGCUAAUUGAGUCGGAUGUGAAAUCCCCGAGCUUAACUUGGGAAUUGCAUUCGAUACUGGUUAGCUAGAGUGUGGGAGAGGAUGGUAGAAUUCCAGGUGUAGCGGUGAAAUGCGUAGAGAUCUGGAGGAAUACCGAUGGCGAAGGCAGCCAUCUGGCCUAACACUGACGCUGAGGUACGAAAGCAUGGGGAGCAAACAGG
rnacentral:rRNA from 1 species